rnacentral:rRNA from 1 species
CCUACGGGUGGCAGCAGUCGAGAAUUAUUCACAAUGGGGGAAACCCUGAUGGUGCGACGCCGCGUGGGGGAAUGAAGGUCUUCGGAUUGUAAACCCCUGUCAUGUGGGAGCAAAUUAAAAAGAUAGUACCACAAGAGGAAGAGACGGCUAACUCUGUGCCAGCAGCCGCGGUAAUACAGAGGUCUCAAGCGUUGUUCGGAAUCACUGGGCGUAAGGCGUGCGUAGGCGGUUUCGUAAGCCGUGUGUGAAAGGCGCGGGCUCAACCCGCGGACGGCACAUGAUACUGCGAGACUAGAGUAAUGGAGGGGGAACCGGAAUUCUCGGUGUAGCAGUGAAAUGCGUAGAUAUCGAGAGGAACACUCGUGGCGAAGGCGGGUUCCUGGACAUUAACUGACGCUGAGGCACGAAGGCCAGGGGAGCGAAAGGGAUUAGAUACCCCAGUAGUC